CUCCAGCACCUUACCUGAUCGCGGAGAAUAUGCACCCCAAGAUCGCACUCUUCGCAGCCAUGAACGAGGAGGAGCCCAAUUCUCAGAGCUUCGGAUGCUAAAAUUCCUCUCUUCCCGGAGAGAGAACGUGACAACGAAAGCCCUAAUUCGAUUUCGUAUCUCGGAGGCAGAAAUCCCAAGAAAUUGAAUUUUCAGUCUGUUGAUUUGUUUAUGGUCGCUGAAAUCGAGAGGCGUCUGGACUAACCCCGAUCGUUUCUCUGCUUUUUUUUUCCUCCGAUUUUGCUAGAUUGAUAUUUCUGAGUUUUAUUGAAUUGGAAUUGUUGGCCAUGUUUUGGUUUGGAUCCGAUCGAAUUGCUGCAUGAAUUGGACGGAAGGUUUGGUUGCGGAUCGAGCGCUUAGAGAGUAGAGGAAGCAGAGCAGCGGCGCUGAAACAUGUCUGCCAUAGUGUGCGGGAAGAGAUCCUUAUUUGAAGACCUGCCUACACCUCCCGUCUCUAAGAGAAUUCGUUGUUCAUCUUCUUCGCCUGUGCGGUUUUCGCCUCCGAGGUCAUCGAAUCAGUCUACUUUUCCUUUCCCCCCGACGUCCUCCUCACAGUCGGCUCAUUUAGUCGAUUAUCUUAGUGCCAUUUUUCCUGACAUGGAUAAACAGCUUCUGGAGAGAGCACUUGAAGAAUGUGGUGAUGAUCUAGAUUUAGCCAUCAGAAGUUUGAACCAGCUUCAUUUGGGGUUCAAUGACAGAAACUUGGGAAGUGCUUCAAACAGCGCCGACAUAGCUUUGGAAGCAAAUGUUCUACCUCGACCAGAAGCAGAAGCACAAGGAGAAGCUGCAAUUGCUGGGGAUGCAACAGCUUCUGAGAACCUUCCCACAAAUGGGGCAGAAUGGGUGGAACUCUUUGUCAGAGAAAUGACAAGUGCCUCAAACAUGGAUGAUGCACGAAGCCGUGCUUCCAGAGUUCUUGAGGUUCUGGAAAAGUCCAUCUGUGCCCGUGCAAAUACAGACGCAGCAAAAAAUUUUCAUCAGGAAAACAAGAUGCUUAGGGAACAAGUGGAAGCACUUAUUCAAGAAAACACUAUUCUCAAAAGAGCUGUCUCCAUUCAGCAUGAACGUCAGAAAGAAUAUGAAGGCAGGAACCAGGAGUUGCAACAUCUUAAAGAAUUAGUGUCUCAAUAUCAAGAGCAGUUGAAAACCCUAGAGGUGAACAACUAUGCACUCACAGUGCAUCUCAAGCAAGCUCAACAAAGCAGCUCCAUUCCAGGGCGUUUCCACCCUGAUGUUUUCUAGUCAAGAAUUGCUAGGUCGAAGCCGUGGCGAACUCGAUCCUCACAAGACUUCUGUCCAAUAAAAAUACAACCUUCUGAUGCUUGCUUGUAAAAGAAAUUCUCCUGGGAAAAGCUUCUUCACAGCACCGCGAUCUCGGUGGAGAUAGAUUUUCAACAGCGGUCUGGCGUUUUUGCUUUGAAACUGCAAGGUAAAUAACUUCAUGUUAGAUUGUUUAACUAGCAAAGUUGAUCUAAGAUUUUAUUUUGGGUUCGACUUUUCCUUUUUAAAAGAGAGUUGCAAUGCCCCAAUUGAAUGAAGAACAUCUCUGGAAGUGAAUACAAUUCUUAGAUAGACAUGAAAAAUAGUGGCCAAUAUUUAAUCUGCUCAAUUUUAUUUGAUUUUGCUAAGAGUUUUUUAAACAAUGAAAUUAUUUGUAUCGAAAA